GCGUAAGAGCUCGUAGGCGGCUUGUCACGUCGGGUGUGAAAGCCCGGGGCUUAACCCCGGGUCUGCAUUCGAUACGGGCUAGCUAGAGUGUGGUAGGGGAGAUCGGAAUUCCUGGUGUAGCGGUGAAAUGCGCAGAUAUCAGGAGGAACACCGGUGGCGAAGGCGGAUCUCUGGGCCAUUACUGACGCUGAGGAGCGAAAGCGUGGGGAGCGAACAGGAUUAGAUACCCUGGUAGUCCACGCCGUAAACGGUGGGAACUAGGUGUUGGCGACAUUCCACGUCGUCGGUGCCGCAGCUAACGCAUUAAGUUCCCCGCCUGGGGAGUACGGCCGCAAGGCUAAAACUCAAAGGAAUUGACGGGGGCCCGCACAAGCAGCGGAGCAUGUGGCUUAAUUCGACGCAACGCGAAGAACCUUACCCAGGCUUGACAUACACCGGAAACGGCCAGAGAGGGUCGCCCCCUUGU
rnacentral:rRNA from 1 species